rnacentral:rRNA from 1 species
CACGUAGGCACCAAGCGUUGUCCGGAUUUAUUGGGCGUAAAGAGCUCGUAGGCGGUUCGGUAAGUCGGGUGUGAAAACUUUGGGCUUAACCCAAAGCGUGCACUCGAUACUGCCAUGACUAGAGUUCGGUAGGGGAGUGGGGAAUUCCUAGUGUAGCGGUGAAAUGCGCAGAUAUUAGGAGGAACACCGGUGGCGAAGGCGCCACUCUGGGCCGAAACUGACGCUGAGGAGCGAAAGCGUGGGUAGCAAACAGG